rnacentral:lncRNA from 1 species
UUUCCAUGGAGCGUUCUGUAGCUCAAGUCCCGGAACCUGCUAUGUGUCCCUAAGAUCGCAGUGCUCACGAUCUGGGGAGAAAGUGCCCCUGCAGACCUGGUGUCCUCUCGACCUCCAGCUGGACGUGAAGCCAGCACUCGGCCCGCACAGAAACAAGGCACCCCUGCCACUGCACCAGAACAGGCCGGCGACGUCUCUGAGGCACCCAUUGCUCAUGCACACCUUCAGCACAGAGUUCCUGAGCACCGACUGUGAGCUGGCUCUGCUGUGGAUUCGGGGAAUGAACAGCAGGCAAAAUCUGGCUUCUGAGCUUAACUUUGUUGGAAGACAAUGGCAAGAAGCAAAUCUGUGAUUAUAGUAUGCAG